rnacentral:rRNA from 1 species
GAUACUGGCGGACGGGUGAGUAACACGUGGGUAACCUGCCUGUAAGACUGGGAUAACUCCGGGAACCGGGGCUAAUACCGGAUGCUUGAUUGAACCGCAUGGUUCAAUUAUAAAAGGUGGCUUUUAGCUACCACUUACAGAUGGACCCGCGGCGCAUUAGCUAGUUGGUGAGGUAACGGCUCACCAAGGCGACGAUGCGUAGCCGACCUGAGAGGGUGAUCGGCCACACUGGGACUGAGACACGGCCCAGACUCCUACGGGAGGCAGCAGUAGGGAAUCUUCCGCAAUGGACGAAAGUCUGACGGAGCAACGCCGCCGUGAGUGAUGAAGGUUUUCGGAUCGUAAAACUCUGUGUUAGGGAAGAACAAGUACCGUUCGAAUAGGGCGUACCUUGACGGUACCUAACCAGAAAGCCACGGCUAACUACGUGCCAGCAGCCGCGGUAAUACG